rnacentral:rRNA from 1 species
UACGUAGGGGGCAAGCGUUGUCCGGAUUUAUUGGGCGUAAAGAGCGUGUAGGCGGCCAGAAAAGUCCGCUGUGAAAACAUCGAGGCUCAACUUCGAGCUGUCGGUGGAAACUUUCUGGCUAGAGUCCGGAAGAGGAGAAUGGAAUUCCUGGUGGUAGCGGUGAAAUGCGCAGAUAUCAAGAGGAACACCUGGAGGUGAAGACGGGUUGCUGGGCUGACACUGACGCUGAGGCGCGAAAGCCUAGGGUAGCAAACGGG